rnacentral:rRNA from 1 species
GACAGAGGGUGCAAGCGUUGUUCGGAAUUACUGGGCGUAAAGCGCGUGUAGGCGGCUUGGCAAGUCGGAUGUGAAAGCCCUGGGCUUAACCCAGGAAGUGCACUCGAAACUGCCGAGCUUGAGUUCUGGAGAGGAAGGCGGAAUUCUCGGUGUAGAGGUGAAAUUCGUAGAUAUCGAGAGGAACACCGGUGGCGAAGGCGGCUUUCUGGACAGUGACUGACGCUGAGACGCGAAAGCGUGGGGAGCAAACAGG